GGAAUCUCAGGGUUGUUUGGAUUUGCAUUUCCUGGAUGAUUAAGGAUGUUGAACAUUUUUUCAGGUACUUCUCAGCCAUUCAGUAUUCCUCAGUUGAGAAUUCUUUGUUUAGCUCUGAGCCCCACUUUUUAAUGGGAUUAUUUGAAUUUCUGGAGUCCAGCUUCUUGAGUUCUUUGUAUAUAUUGGACAUUAGUCCUCUAUUGGAUUUAGGAUUGGUAAAGAUCCUUUCCCAAUCUGUUGGUGGCUCUUGCUACAUCCCGUCAGUUUUCAUGACUUGUGUUUCUACCUUAGUUUUCUCAAGAUAUUUGAUAGCUUCCUUUGGAAUUUGUUUGAUUCAUUCAUUGAUCUUUUUUGUGUGCCUAUGAGUUUAUGAGUCUUUGUCUGCUGUGUUCUUGAAUUCAACAUUGUAUUUGAAAAAGAUAUUUGGUGUGGUUUCAGUAUUCUUAAAUUAAGAUCAUUCUUGUGACUUAAUGGUCUGUAGUGGAGAAUGUUGUGUAUGCUUGGAAUAAAAGUAUAUAAAUUGCAUGUAACCUUUGUUCAUGUUUAUCUACUUGGUUCAGAUUGUUUUUCAAGUCUAUUGGAUUUUUUUUUAGUAGAUGCUUUGGUUUCCACAUCAUGGAAGGUGAGGUCCUAAAUCUUUUACAAUUAUUGGAUCUCUAUCCAUUUCUCCUUUAAUUUCAGCUAAUAUUGAAUUAAUAUGCAUAUGUAUGUAUAAUUAUAUAUUUAGUUGUUCUGCUAUUAUGUAUUAUGUCCUGUUUAUGCAUUAGAAUUAUCAAGUCCUCUUGAUGAACAAGUCCAAUUCUGGUUAUAGGAUCAAUAUUUUUGUCUCUUUAUGUAGUCUUUGAAUAGACUAUUUCACUAUGAUAUAAAUAUAGUUACCCUUGCUCUCUUCUGGUUAUCAAUAGUGUAUAAUAGGUAUUUCCAUCACAUUAAUUUAAGUAUGCAUGUGCUCUUAAAGUCCACACAAGUCUCCUAUGUGUAAUAUACAGAUCAAUAUUUAUAAAAAGCUCUUCAGUAAAGAUAUUUCUGUUUGAGAAUCUAACCCCUUUAUAUAUUUAUUUUGUGAUCAGUGACAUUUCCAAACUUCAAAUGGUCACUUGGUAUUUUCUGAUUUAUGUUUUCUCUGCUGUAUUUAUUCUCCUUUUUCUUUGCAAUAAUGACCUGUUACACAGGUGAUUUGAUUCUUUUUGUGUGUGUGUAUUUACUAUAAGUUUUCUCUUUGUAGUAACUGAGUCUUACAUAUAAUAUCACUUAGUGAAAAAUGAUCUAUUUGAAGCUGAUAACUUAGCUUCCACAGCAUAUUUAAAACACUAUUCUCCAGCAUCCUUCCUUAUAGUUUAUUUACUGUUACCAUAUUUUUUCAUUGUAUAUGAUUAGCUGCUUUUCAUAGAUAUUUUUAACAUUAAGCCUUGUAAAUAUUGAUACUCUAGC
rnacentral:lncRNA from 1 species